rnacentral:rRNA from 1 species
UGACAGUACUCCUACGGGGAGGCAGCAGUGGGGGAAUAUUGCACAAUGGGCGCAAGCCUGAUGCAGCCAUGCCGCGUGUGUGAAGAAGGCCUUCGGGUUGUAAAGCACUUUCAGUCGUGAGGAAGGUAGUGUAGUUAAUAGCUGCAUUAUUUGACGUUAGCGACAGAAGAAGCACCGGCUAACUCCGUGCCAGCAGCCGCGGUAAUACGGAGGGUGCGAGCGUUAAUCGGAAUUACUGGGCGUAAAGCGCAUGCAGGUGGUUUGUUAAGUCAGAUGUGAAAGCCCGGGGCUCAACCUCGGAAUAGCAUUUGAAACUGGCAGACUAGAGUACUGUAGAGGGGGGUAGGAAUUUCAGGUGUAGCGGUGAAAUGCGUAGAGAUCUGAAGGAAUACCGGUGGCGAAGGCGGCCCCCUGGACAGAUACUGACACUCAGAUGCGAAAGCGUGGGGAGCAAACAGGAUUAGAUACCCCUGGUAG